CCUACGGGAGGCAGCAGUGGGGAAUAUUGGACAAUGGGGGGAACCCUGAUCCAGCGACGCCGCGUGAGUGAAGAAGUAUUUCGGUAUGUAAAGCUCUAUCAGCAGGGGAGAAAGAAAUGACGGUACCUGACUAAGAAGCCCCGGCUAACUACGUGCCAGCAGCCCCGGUAAUACGUAGGGGGCAAGCGUUCUCCGGAUUUACUGGGUGUAAGGGGAGCGUGGACGGCGAUGCAAGUCUGAAGUGAAAGGCGGGGGCCCAACCCCUGGACUGCUUUGGAAACUGUAUGGCUGGAGUGCAGGAGAGGUAAGUGGAAUUCCUAGUGUAGCGGUGAAAUGCGUAGAUAUUAGGAGGAACACCAGUGGCGAAGGCGGCUUACUGGACUGUAACUGACGUUGAGGCUCGAAAGCGUGGGGAGCAAACAGGAUUAGAUACCCGAGUAGUC
rnacentral:rRNA from 1 species